UAACUAAGAUUUACGUGUUUGCYGACGUUCUACAUCUCAUAAAACUAUUAAGRAACCACUUCUUAGAUGACGGUUUUUUGAUUGAUGGCAAAAAAGUUACGAAGGAUAUAAUAUACCAUGUUCUUCAUCUGACGUCUGGUAAUACCCUUUCUAACACCCAUAAAAUAAGCUCCCGUCAUUUAGAGGUAUCUGGACCGGAGCGUCAAAAAAUUAAAUUGGCAACAAAAUUAUUUUCUCAUACUGUUGCACAGUCAGUGUCGCGAGCGGCGAGUUUGGGUCAUUUAGGUGAAGAAAAUUGGCGUGAAUGUUUCAAGCUACUAAAACCAACUAACGAUUGGUUCGAUGAGAUGAACCUCAAAGUUCCACAUGCAGAUAGUCGCAAUCGAAUGAAUGCCUAUGGGCUUGCGCUUACAGAGCAGGACAAGAUCUAGGAUGAUAUGACACAAAUGGUAACAGAAAUGCGGCAAUAAAUAGGAAAUGUUUAUUGCCAUUUCAAAAAGGAAUUAUGCAAUCAAUCAAUGCUCUCAAACUGCUGCGUGCGGAAUUAGAAAAUUGUUUCGGUAUUAAGUACAUACUUACGUAUCGACUAAAUCAAGAUGUACUGAACGGUAAGGGCGGGCUGCAUGACCAUCCUGAUCAGCAGGAAUUUAAAUAUAGGCUAAGAUCGUAUCUUUUAGGACGUAAUCAGGGUAUACUGUCUAC